rnacentral:ncRNA from 93 species
UCCGUAGGUGAACCUGCGG